AUUUGCAGACAGCCAGGCUCUCAAAGAUUGGUGGAUAUUACUUAAAGAGCUGUUUAAGCACCAUCAUGGACAGGUUCAUGACAAAUGAAUUAAUGUCCAAUCUGAACAUGAAGGGGAGAGGGGGAAAAAAAUAGCUUUGCCGAGACGAAGCUGCUCGAUUUAGUCACAGCUAGUGUCUUGGAUACCCAGAAGGGGACCGAAACGAUGGUCCAUGAUGCCAUAAAAAAUAAACUGAAAUAUGCCCCUGGACGGAAGGGAGGAAUAAGAUGGGCAUCACAGGCUAAAUAAAUAAUUAUAUCGAUUG